AUGACUGCUUGUCGCAGUGCCUCACGACGGACGUACGCAUACGCCUGCUCAACGGUAAGAAACGGGUCCAUCUGCAAAACUCCACUACGGAUGCUAUCGAGACGUUCAUCGAGCCCAUCAAGGAAGGUGUAAACUCUGUCUUCCUGGGUCAAAUUAUUGAAGUGGCGGAUGUCAGCGGCACACUUCAUUGGAUUUGGGCGACGGAAGUCAAUUUCGCGCCACAACCCAUGCAGUUCAGUGUAAUAUUUCUCCACAGAUCCGCCUGCUUGUCUUAGGCGACUCACCCUUCGUCGAAGAUCAUAGACUUGGGAUUUAUCAUUCCCAUCAAAGUAUGUAGUGGCAAUAGCAUCCCAAACUUCCUUAGCAGUGUGGAAACGAAUGAAAUUGCCAAUCAGAACAGGGUCCAACGAAUUGAUAAUCCAUCCCUUGACAAUGGCAUUCUCAGUUCGCCAUUUUCGG
rnacentral:lncRNA from 1 species